rnacentral:rRNA from 1 species
AGCGAACGCUGGCGGCAGGCCUAACACAUGCAAGUCGAACGAACCCUUCGGGGUUAGUGGCGGACGGGUGAGUAACACGUGGGAACGUGCCUUUAGGUUCGGAAUAACUCAGGGAAACUUGUGCUAAUACCGAAUGUGCCCUUCGGGGGAAAGAUUUAUCGCCUUUAGAGCGGCCCGCGUCUGAUUAGCUAGUUGGUGAGGUAAUGGCUCACCAAGGCUACGAUCAGUAGCUGGUCUGAGAGGAUGACCAGCCACAUUGGGACUGAGACACGGCCCAAACUCCUACGGGAGGCAGCAGUGGGGAAUCUUGCGCAAUGGGCGAAAGCCUGACGCAGCCAUGCCGCGUGGAUGAUGAAGGUCUUAGGAUUGUAAAAUCCUUUCACCGGUGAAGAUAAUGACUGUAGCCGGAGAAGAAGCCCCGGCUAACUUCGUGCCAGCCGCCGCGGUAA